UGCAGUCGAACGAGUUCCCGUUGAUUGACGUGCUUGCACUGAUUUCAACAUUGGAACGAGUGGCGAACUGGUGAGUAACACGUGGAAAACCUGCCCAGAAGCAGGGGAUAACACUUGGAAACAGGUGCUAAUACCGUAUAACAACAAAAACCGCAUGGUUUUUGUUUGAAAGGUGGCUUCGGCUAUCACUUCUGGAUGGUUCCGCGGCGCAUUAGCUAGUUGGUGAGGUAAAGGCCCACCAAGGCGAUGAUGCGUAGCCGACCUGAGAGGGUAAUCGGCCACAUUGGGACUGAGACACGGCCCAGACUCCUACGGGAGGCAGCAGUAGGGAAUCUUCCACAAUGGACGAAAGUCUGAUGGAGCAAUGCCGCGUGAGUGAAGAAGGGUUUCGGCUCGUAAAACUCUGUUGUUGAAGAAGAACGGGUGUCAGAGUAACUGUUGACAUCGUGACGGUAUUCAACCAGAAAGCCACGGCUAACUACGUGCCAGCAGCCGCGGUAAUACGUAGGUGGCAAGCGUUGUCCGGAUUUAUUGGGCGUAAAGCGAGCGCAGGCGGUUACUUAAGUCUGAUGUGAAAGCCUUCGGCUUAACCGAAGAAGUGCAUCGGAAACUGGGUAACUUGAGUGCAGAAGAGGACAGUGGAACUCCAUGUGUAGCGGUGGAAUGCGUAGAUAUAUGGAAGAACACCAGUGGCGAAAGCGGCUGUCUAGUCUGUAACUGACGCUGAGGCUCGAAAGCAUGGGUAGCGAACAGGAUUAGAUACCCUGGGUAGUCCAUGCCGUAACGAUGAGUGCUAGUGUUGGAGGGUUUCGCCCUCAGUGCUGCAGCUACGCAUAGCACUCGGCUGAGAGUACGACCGC
rnacentral:rRNA from 2 species